CCUGGCUCUGGCUGCCCCUCGUUUCCUAGCAGGAAGCCCGAGGCCACACAACUGCAGGCCAGCUCCUGGUAGGUCCACCAGUCAGGAUCUACAGGCCACAACGUUCUGGACGGUUCAGCCCCACUCCUGCGCAGCCUGGCCGCCGCACAGGGAAUUUCCUGUCUGCUCAGGGCCUGAUCCUGCGCCCUGGGCUUUGGUUUCCCCCAGCACAAGCCCACUCUCCGCCUCUGUGCUGGAGUCCUGCACCCCUGUCCCUCCCACCUGUGAGGGC
rnacentral:lncRNA from 1 species